GAUGAACGCUAGCGGCAGGCUUAAUACAUGCAAGUCGAGGGGCAGCAGUUUUGUAGCAAUACAGAAGCUGGCGACCGGCAAACGGGUGCGGAACACGUACGCAACCUUCCUUUAACUGGAAGAUAGCCCACCGAAAGGUGGAUUAAUACUCCAUAACAUAUUGAAGAGGCAUCUUUUUGAUAUUAAAGCUCCGGCGGUUAAAGAUGGGCGUGCGUCUGAUUAGGUAGUUGGCGGGGUAACGGCCCACCAAGCCUUCGAUCAGUAGCUGAUGUGAGAGCAUGAUCAGCCACACGGGCACUGAGACACGGGCCCGACUCCUACGGGAGGCAGCAGUAAGGAAUAUUGGUCAAUGGACGCAAGUCUGAACCAGCCAUGCCGCGUGGAGGAUGAAGGCCCUCUGGGUUGUAAACUUCUUUUCUUUGGGACGAAACCCCUGUUUCUACGGGGACUGACGGUACCAGAGGAAUAAGCACCGGCUAACUCCGUGCCAGCCGCCGCAGUAAAAC
rnacentral:rRNA from 1 species